UCAUCGAGUAGCUGAGCGAGUAGUUUGCGCCCUCAGUAGACGCAGCCAACUCAGCAGUCACAACUGUUUGUUGCAGGCGUUGAACGGCUGCAGAUUCAGCACCAACAGUUGCAGAUUCAGCAGCAACAAGUGCUGUUGCAACAACAACAGCUGGAGCUGGAGUUGCAGCGACAGCAGUUGCUCGUGCAGCAACAACAAAUGUUGCAACAGCAGCCGGUUCAAUUGUCCUCACAGUUUCCCCCGCCGUACUCGGCUCCCGUUGACAACAAGAAUUAGCUUAGGCGGGUGUUGCGGCCAGGCCCGAUAGCUGUGACUGUUGGACCGUUGCCCCCCCAAGCACCCUACCAACCCCUCUCUCGUUCUGAUGGGCGAGGUUGGCCAGCUUAAGAAUCUUUUCCAUUUUAACUUAUUCUCUCUUUGAUUUGUGAUCUUCAUCAUGGACAAUGACACUGUGACUUCAAUCAAAUUGUAUCUUCCUUCUUCUCAGUUUGUUCUUCCGAUUGCCAUCAUUGAACAUACUCUAAUUUAAUUUACUAUCACUGGUAAACGAGAAUACAAAUAUUUUCCAAUAUUAAUUUUAGAAUAAUAAAAUUAAUAUUGAAAAUAUUUAUAUUCAUUUCCAGUGAUAGUAAAUUGUACUUUUUCCCAAUGCUUCAAGAUUCUUCAUACUGUAGUUUGUAAAUCAUAUUAGAUAUUGUGUUAGGUUAAGGUAAGUUUAGUCA